GACGAACGCUGGCGGCGUGCUUAACACAUGCAAGUCGAACGGAAAGGCCCUGCUUUUGUGGGGUGCUCGAGUGGCGAACGGGUGAGUAACACGUGAGUAACCUGCCCUUGACUUUGGGAUAACUUCAGGAAACUGGGGCUAAUACCGGAUAGGAGCUCCUGCUGCAUGGUGGGGGUUGGAAAGUUUCGGCGGUUGGGGAUGGACUCGCGGCUUAUCAGCUUGUUGGUGGGGUAGUGGCUUACCAAGGCUUUGACGGGUAGCCGGCCUGAGAGGGUGACCGGCGAGAUUGGGACUGAGAUACGGCACAGACUGCUACGGGAGGCAGCAGUGGGGAAUAUUGCACAAUGGGCGGAAGCCGGAUGCAGCAACGCCGCGUGCGGGAUGACGGCCUUCGGGUUGUAAACCGCGUUCGCCUGUGACGAAGCGUGAGUGACGGUAAUGGGUAAAGAAGCAACGGCUAACUACGUG
rnacentral:rRNA from 1 species